AUGGCGUCCUCGAACAAGCACUGGCCGAGCAUGUUCAGGUCCAACCCUGCUGCCUGCGACUUCCACCACCAGCCUGACAUGAGCAACACCCACACCAGACCCUCCUUGAUCUCCUCAGGGCUUGACCAGGAGACCACAAGGAGCCCGGGGGAGACGAAGCCGCGGUGGAACCCCCGGCCGGAGCAGAUCAGGAUCCUGGAGGGGAUCUUCAACUCCGGCGUCGUCAACCCUCCGCGCGACGAGAUCCGCCGCAUCCGCCUCCGUCUGCAGGAGUACGGCCACGUCGCCGACGCCAACGUCUUCUACUGGUUCCAGAACCGCAAGUCUCGCACCAAGAACAAGCUCCGCGCCGCCGCGGCCGCAGCCGCUGCCCAGGGCCAACAGCCUACCGGCGGCCGCGCCGCCGUGAUGCGCGCGUCCCUAGCGGUGAGGACGCCUGCGCCGGCUCCCGUGACGCCGCCGAGGCGUUUCCUCGCGCCGUCCGGCACGCUCCAGGCGCCGACAUCCUCGUCGUCAUCCUCCUCCGACCGCUCCUCCGGAUCCAGCAGGUCGGUGACCAUGAAGACCACGGCCAUGGCGUCUGCUGCGGCAGCCUCCUUGUCCCAGCCGAUGGCACCGCUGUCGACGACCGCCGCCAUCGACCUGUUCGCCCCGGCACCACCACUGACACCGUCGCCUGCGCUCUCCACGUGCCAGCUCUACUACCAGCUGCAGAACCAUCCCAUGACGUCGAUGCCGACGCCGACACUGGCGUGCGAGCUGGUAACCUCCGCCCCCGAGCCGCCGCCGCACCUCCUGCAGUGGCCGCCGCAGAGCCAGAGCCAGUACCUGCCGGCCACCGAGCUCGGCGGCUUCCUCGGCUCGCAUGCCCACACGCAACCGACGGCGGUCUCCCCUGGCGCGCUCCUCCUGCCUGGCCUCUGCACCGACUCGGCGUUAGAGCAGCACGAGAUCGUGGACGACAUGAGCUGCUCCAAGCCGGGUCUCGGCGUCGGCGGCCAGUACCACUUCAACGUCGCGGCGGAUCCACCCUCCGACGCGGUGAGCGCCGUGAUUAAGGACGACGAGAAGGUCAGGCUGGGGUUUCUGCACCACUACGGCCUCGGCGCCACCGCCGGCGCGGACGUCAGUGCGGCCGCCCUCCCAUGCAUUCCGCCUACCGGCAACGCCGCCGCAAGCUCUGCAUCCACCGAUCAGCUGCAAGGGCUGCUGGACGCCGGGCUGCUCACCGGAGGAGGCGCGCCGGCGCCAAUGGCGACGGUGGUGACCGUGGCCGCCGGGCGGCCGGGCGCCCCCGUGCAAUGCUACAGCGUGCCGGCGAUGGCGCGCAUGGACGUGAAGGCGCUGUUCGGUCCGGCGGCCGUGCUGCUCGGGCAGUCCGGCGAGGCCAUCCCCGUCGACGGGGCCGGGGUCACCGCCGAGCCCCUCCAGAACGGCGCCUGGUACUACGUCCUGAUGUGA
rnacentral:rRNA from 1 species